UCCCCGGUGGUCUAGUGGUUAGGAUGCGGUGUUUGCACUACUGGGGCCUGGGUUCGAUUCCCUAGUCUAGGAA
rnacentral:tRNA from 1 species